CCUACGGGGGGCAGCAGUGGGGAAUAUUGCGCAAUGGGCGAAAGCCUGACGCAGCGACGCCGCGUGAGGGAUGAAGGUCUUCGGAUCGUAAACCUCUGUCAGCAGGGAAGAACGGUCACUGUGCUAAUCAGCAGUGAAUUGACGGUACCUGAGGAAUAAGCCACGGCUAACUACGUGCUAGCAGCCGCGGUAAGACGUAGGUGGCAAGCGUUAUCCGGAUUUACUGGGUGUAAAGGGCGUGUAGGCGGGACUGCAAGUCAGAUGUGAAAACCAUGGGCUCAACCUAUGGCCUGCAUUUGAAACCGGAGUUCUGGAGUGCUGGAGAGGCAGACGGAAUUCCUAGGGUAGCGGUGAAAUGCGUAGAUAUUAGGAGGAACACCAGUGGCGAAGGCGGUCUGCUGGACAGCAACUGACGCUGAGGCGCGAAAGCGUGGGGAGCAAACAGGAUUAGAUACCCUAGUAGUC
rnacentral:rRNA from 1 species